AUUGAACGCUGGCGGCAUGCCUUACACAUGCAAGUCGAACGGCAGCAUGAUCUAGCUUGCUAGAUUGAUGGCGAGUGGCGAACGGGUGAGUAAUACAUUGGAACGUGCCCUGUAGUGGGGGAUAACUAGUCGAAAGAUUAGCUAAUACCGCAUACGACCUGAGGGUGAAAGUGGGGGACCGCAAGGCCUCAUGCUAUAGGAGCGGCCGAUGUCUGAUUAGCUAGUUGGUGAGGUAAAGGCUCACCAAGGCGACGAUCAGUAGCUGGUCUGAGAGGACGAUCAGCCACACUGGGACUGAGACACGGCCCAGACUCCUACGGGAGGCAGCAGUGGGGAAUUUUGGACAAGGGGCGAAAGCCUGAUCCAGCAAUGCCGCGUGUGUGAAGAAGGCCUUCGGGUUGUAAAGCACUUUUGUCCGGAAAGAAAUGGCUCUGGUUAAUACCUGGGGUCGAUGACGGUACCGGAAGAAUAAGGACCGGCUAACUACGU
rnacentral:rRNA from 1 species